rnacentral:rRNA from 1 species
CCCUUAGACACUCUAGGCGGCACGCGCGCUACAAUGGGUGGAAGAACGUGUUACUGCCUCCGAAAGGAGGGGUGAAUCACGAAUUCUUACCCGUGAAUGGGAUAGUUUGUUGCAAUUUUCGGACUUGAACUAGGAAUCCCUUGUAAACAUGCUCAAGAAUAGCGUGUUGAAUACGUCCCUGCCGUUUGUACACACCGCCCGUCGUUUCUUCCGACUGAUACUCAUUGUGAGUUGCAAGGACCCUUUAUUGGGAAAUUGCUGCAAAUGCUUUGUAUUGGAGGAAGAAAAAGUCGUAACA